CUACGGGUGGCACCAGUGAGGAAUUUUGCGCAAUGGGGGAAACCCUGACGCAGCAACGCCGCGUGAGUGAAGAAGGCUUUCGGGUCGUAAAGCUCUGUCGAGUGGGAAAAAAUACGUUCGGUUAAUAGCCGGACGGACUGAUGGUACCACUGGAGGAAGCACCGGCUAACUCCGUGCCAGCAGCCGCGGUAAUACGGAGGGUGCAAGCGUUGUUCGGAAUUACUGGGCGUAAAGAGCGUGUAGGCGGUUUGGUAAGUCAGAUGUGAAAGCCCUGGGCUCAACCCAGGAAGUGCAUUUGAAACUGCCAUUCUUGAGUAUGGGAGAGGAGAGUGGAAUUCCCAGUGUAGAGGUGAAAUUCGUAGAUAUUGGGAGGAACACCCGUGGCGAAGGCGACUCUCUGGACCAAUACUGACGCUGAGACGCGAAAGCGUGGGGAGCAAACAGGAUUAGAUACCCGCGUAGUC
rnacentral:rRNA from 1 species